rnacentral:rRNA from 1 species
AGAGUUUGAUCCUGGCUCAGGAUGAACGCUAGCGGCGUGGAUAAGGCAUGCAAGUCGAACGCCCCGGUUUACCGGGGAGUGGCAAACGGGUGAGUAAUACGUUGGUUACCUACCUUGAAGUUUGGGAUAACAUCGAGAAAUUGAUGCUAAUACCAAAUAGUCCCGCAAGGGUAAAGAUUUAUCGCUUCAAGAAGGGCCGACGCACUAUCAGCUAGUUGGUGAGGUAAUGGCUCACCAAGGCUAUGACGGUUAGGAGGCUCGAGAGGGUAUUCUCCCACAUUGGCACUGAGACACUGGCCAAACUCCUACGGGAGGCUGCAGUCGAGAAUCUUCGUCAAUGCACUCAAGUGUGAACGAGCGACGCCGCGUGAGCGAUGAAGCCCUUCGGGGUGUAAAGCUCUUUUAUUAGGGAUAAACUUUGAUAGUACCUAGUGAAUAAGAGGUUGCUAACUCUGUGCCAGCAGCAGCGGUAAUACAGAGACCUCAAGCGUUAUCCGGAAUUAUUGGGCGUAAAGCGUCUGUAGGUUGGGUAAAUAGUCAGAUGUCAAAUUCUAGGGCUUAACUUUAGAACUGCAUUUGAAACGUUUAUUCUAGAGGACAGUAGGGGCAAGUAGAACUUAUAGUGUAGCAGUAAAAUGCGUUGACAUUAUAAGGAAUAUCAAAAGCGAAGGCAUCUUGCUGGACUGUUCCUGACACUGAGAGACGAAAGCGUGGGUAGCGAAUGGGAUUAGAUACCCCAGUAGUCCACGCUGUAAACGAUGGAUAUUAGGCAUUAGGAGUGUCGACCCUUUUAGUGCCGAAGCUAACGCGUUAAAUAUCC